UACGUAGGGGGCAAGCGUUGUCCGGAUUUAUUGGGCGUAAAGAGCGUGUAGGCGGCCUGACAGGUCAGCUGUGAAAACUCGAGGCUCAACCUCGAGACGUCGGUUGAAACCAUCUGGCUAGAGUCCGGAAGAGGAGUGUGGAAUUCCCGGUGUAGCGGUGAAAUGCGCAGAUAUCGGGAAGAACACCCGUGGCUAAGGCGGCUCUCUAGUACGGUACUGACGCUGAGACGCGAAAGCGUGGGGAGCGAACAGG
rnacentral:rRNA from 1 species